rnacentral:rRNA from 1 species
UCCUGGCUCAGGAUGAACGCUAGCGGACAGGCUAACACAUGCAAGUCGAGGGGCGAGCGGGGUUGUAGCAAUACAACUGCCGGCGACCGGCGCACGGGUGAGUAACACGUAUGUAACCUGCCCUCCUGCAAGGGGGAUAAGCGGAAGAAAUUCCGUCUAAUACCGCAUAAUACAAUUUGGAGACAUCUCCGGGUUGUCAAAGGAGUGAUCCGGCAGAGGAUGGACAUGCGGCGCAUUAGCUAGUCGGCGGGGUAACGGCCCACCGAGGCUACGAUGCGUAGGGGUUCUGAGAGGAAGGUCCCCCACACUGGUACUGAGACACGGACCAGACUCCUACGGGAGGCAGCAGUGAGGAAUAUUGGUCAAUGGGCGGAAGCCUGAACCAGCCAAGUCGCGUGAGGGAAGACGGUCCUAUGGAUUGUAAACCUCUUUUGCAGGGGAGCAAGGCGCGGUACGUGUACCGCGAAGGAGAGUACCCUGAGAAAAAGCAUCGGCUAACUCCGUG